rnacentral:rRNA from 1 species
AUGGCAUGUUGCAUCAUCUUGAAUAACAUGAUGAUUGAAGAUGAGAGAGGCAUCCCACAAGACUUUUGGUACAUCUCCAAUGUGGAUCCUGUUGAGCCAGAGAAUGAUGCAAACAGGAUAACGAUAUUCAUCACAACACAUCGAAGCAUCGAGAAUCGAGAAGUUCACACCCAGCUUCAAGAUGAUCUUGCUGAGCAUCAGCAGCAACUCCAUAGCACUUCAUAG